GUCGGAGUCAAAGAGAACACCUAGGCAGCGAGCCUGCGAGGUAGAGGUGAUGGUGGCGCCGUUGACUUGGAGGGAGACAGACACGGGAGUCGCAACACUUGAGGGAGGAAAGACCAGAAGUUCUGUUUUGGACAGGUUAAGUUUAAGGAAGUGAGCAGCCAUCCAGUUGGAAAUUGCAGAGAGGCAGUCAGAAACACGAGUCAAGGUGGGCGGAGAGAGAUCAGGAGAGGACAGGUAGAUUUGUGUGUCAUCUGCAUAUAAAUGAUAAUGGAAUCCA